CAGUCGCCACGGUAGUACGUAGGUCCCGAGCGUUGUCUGGAUUUAUUGGGCGUAAAGCGAGCGCAGGCGGUUAGAUAAGUCUGAAGUUAAAGGCUGUGGCUUAACCAUAGUACGCUUUGGAAACUGUUUAACUUGAGUGCAGAAGGGGAGAGUGGAAUUCCAUGUGUAGCGGUGAAAUGCGUAGAUAUAUGGAGGAGCACCGGUGGCGAAAGCGGCUCUCUGGUCUGUCACUGACGCUGAGGCUCGAAAGCGUGGGUAGCGAACAGGAUUAGAUACCCCGGUAGUCCCUGUCUCUUAUACA
rnacentral:rRNA from 1 species